UACAGAGGUCUCAAGCGUUGUUCGGAUUCAUUGGGCGUAAAGGGUGUGUAGGUGGCGCGCUAAGUCGGGUGUGAAAUUUCGGAGCUUAACUCCGAAACUGCAUUCGAUACGGGCAGACUAGAGGCAUGCAGGGGAGAACGGAAUUCCUGGUGUAGCGGUGAAAUGCGCAGAUAUCAGGAGGAACACCGGUGGCGAAGGCGGUUCUCUGGGCAUGUCCUGACGCUGAGGAGCGAAAGUGUGGGGAGCAAACAGG
rnacentral:rRNA from 1 species